GCUUGUCUCAAAGAUUAAGCCAUGCAUGUUCAAACAUAAGUAUUAUAAAGCGAAGUUGCGAAUGGCUCAUUAUAUCAGUUAUAAUAUACUAGAUAGUUUCUCUACUUGGAUAACCGUAGUAAUUCUAGAGCUAAUACAUGACUAAAAGGGCUAGCCCUGCAUUUAUUAGAUAAAAAAUCAAUACCUGUUCUGCAGGUCCUAUUGGUGAGUCAUAAUAACUGUUCGAAUCGCAUGCUUCGGCAGGCGAUAGUUCAUUCAAAUUUCUGCCCUAUCAGCUUUCGACGGUAGUGUAGUGGACUACCGUGGCGUUAACGGGUAACGGAGAAUUAGGGUUCGAUUCCGGAGAGGGAGCCUGAGAAAUGGCUACCACAUCCAAGGAAGGCAGCAGG
rnacentral:rRNA from 1 species